UGUUGGAACAAAACGACGGGGAGACGCCGAUAACAAAUGUGCUCGAGUUGUUUAACGAUCUGUACCACAGAUUCCUGUUGACAACUAAACCAACUAUGAAAGCAAUGUGCCUUCAGGCGAUGACUAAAGUUUAUGGAAAAUGUCAGGAAGAGAUUGGCGCUUUUAAUGAUACCAAGCUAAGGAUCAUCUGUUAUUGAUCCAGUGUUACUACAGGAGCCUGAACUAAACUAACUUUAUUCAUACUGUUUCG